GUUGCAUGAUCGGGCAAGGAAAUAUUUAUAGCUGUAAGAUAGGCAUGCGUCCCAUUAGCUGGUUGGUGAGGUAACGGCUCACCAAGGCUACGAUGGGUAGGGGAACUGAGAGGUUUAUCCCCCACACUGGUACUGAGACACGGACCAGACUCCUACGGGAGGCAGCAGUGAGGAAUAUUGGUCAAUGGGCGAGAGCCUGAACCAGCCAAGUCGCGUGAAGGAAGACUGUCCUAAGGAUUGUAAACUUCUUUUAUACGGGAAUAACGGGCGAUACGUGUAUUGCUGUGAAUGUACCGUAAGAAUAAGC
rnacentral:rRNA from 1 species